UACGUAGGGUGCGAGCGUUGUCCGGAAUUAUUGGGCGUAAAGAGCUUGUAGGCGGUUUGUCGCGUCUGCUGUGAAAAUCCGGGGCUCAACCCCGGACUUGCAGUGGGUACGGGCAGACUAGAGUACAGAAGGGGCAACUGGAAUUCUCGGUGUAGCGGUGAAAUGCGUAGAUAUCGAGAGGAACACCUGCGGCGAAGGCGGGUUGCUGGGCUGAUACUGACGCUGAGGCGCGAAAGCCAGGGGAGCGAACGGG
rnacentral:rRNA from 1 species